rnacentral:misc_RNA from 1 species
UACGGAGGAUCCGAGCGUUAUCCGGAUUUAUUGGGUUUAAAGGGUGCGUAGGCGGCCUUUUAAGUCAGCGGUGAAAGUCUGUGGCUCAACCAUAGAAUUGCCGUUGAAACUGGGGGGCUUGAGUAUGUUUGAGGCAGGCGGAAUGCGUGGUGUAGCGGUGAAAUGCAUAGAUAUCACGCAGAACCCCGAUUGCGAAGGCAGCCUGCCAAGCCAUGACUGACGCUGAUGCACGAAAGCGUGGGGAUCGAACAGG